CAUAAAAGGAAAUGGAAUGUCUUGGAUUAUGGCGGCCUGCCCAGAACUGCUCUCCUGCAGUUAUGGAUGAAAGGCUUAGUAAACAGACAAACAGCUAAUGACGGACUGGUCUAUUAAAAAGGUUGCUUGCUAUAACUGAAGUCGGAGUCAGACACUGACCCACAACCCUGAAAAAGAGACAUUGUACAGGCAAGCUGGUGCCAGCAGAACAACGUACAAGACCAGGGGUCUACUGUUGCAACAAAAAUUAUGUUGUGUGUUUUA